rnacentral:misc_RNA from 1 species
CUGAAGAUAACGGGGGAUCUAGAGACUGCGCCUAGCGUGUGCUCGGUCCUCCAUUCUUUCAUCCACACACACCUUUGUGCACUAUGGGGACGUCAUGUCCCCCUUUUUCAUACCAAACACCUAGUUUAAAUGCAUGUCAUAUGAUUGCUCUAAGGAGUAAAAUGUAA